GCUCCCAGACAGACACGUUGACACUGGGGGCUGGACCAGGGGCUGCCUGGGGUUGUUCCGUUUGCCGGCUGCCGAGAGCUUUCCAGGAGCGCAGGAGCGCUUCUGGUGGGGAUCCUGAGGGUCAGAGCAGCUGCCACCGUCCCAGGGGCUCCGAGGGGAGGUGGAGAGAGGGAGCAGGUCUCUCACUGGCUCUCACUAACAAGACCACUGCCCUCGGUUGUCCCGGCUCUGCACCGAGCCCUGUACCUGCUGGACACGGCGUCUGUCUUGCAGCUGAGACGUGAGAGCCCUGGGGCUUCAGUGGGGAGGCUGCUCUGCCUUCAGAGGGGCCCACGGCAGGCCAGCUCCUUCCCCGGUGCCUGGAAGGUUUUGGAGAAAUUUCUCCUUCCUCUUUUAUUCAGAAGUCCCAUUGCCCUACAUACGACUCGAUUAAGCGUUCAGGAGGGACUGUGCCAGAAAACAGAUCCAAGCUGGAGCAUCAGGGGCCCCUCCGGACUCCGAGAAAUUGACACCUUGGCUUUCCCUCUUGUGCUGGGGCCUGGGGUUCGGUCUGCAGCUCCUGUCCCUCACUCCACACGCCCCCACGUCCUGCGGGCUCUCCCUGCCGGCUAUGAGUCAAGGCCGCCGCACUUUGCCAUCAUCCCUCCCUCCCCGCCCCGGCUCACGAUGUUACCGUCUGUCAUCAGCAAGGGGUCACAGCCUCCUGGUUGGUCUCCCUGCCCCUCCUUGCGCCUCAAUCCAUUCUUUCUCCAGCUAUUAGACUGAUCUUCAAAUGCAACUCUCAAAAAACUCUAACCCAACUAAAAACCCUUCAAAGGCUCCCCCUACAGAGUUCUCCGGCCCCGGGGCUGGGAGGUGGAGGCAUCUACAGCUCCCCGGUCCUGCCCUUCACACCAACAGCACGCUCCCGGCGCCCUCGGCCCAGCGCCCGCGGGGGUCCACUGCUCCUGCUGCCCCCUCUGCCGCCAAGAGUCCCCUUCCUCCUUCCACCACCUGCCUGCCCUCUCGCCACCCCCAACCCCUGGCCGAGCUCAUCCUACAAGGCUCAGCUCAGACCUCACCUGCUCCGGGCAGGGCUAAGCACUUCCCUAGUACAAAUACUUCAUGGUAGCAGCUGCAACAAAAUGCAGGACUUAGCGGUGAAUCUGGUUGUGCUUCUUCCUCCUGCACCCUCCUGAGUUCAAGGGCAAACAAUGCGUCUUAUUAAAUUUUGCAUCUACCACCAGUUUCUGGAAAGUAAUACUCAUUAAUUAGGAACUUACCGUUUCCACACAGAGCUUAAAACCCCCAACAUGCAUUUCUUGUUCCUUGUAUCAACAACAAACCUACAAGGGAGGCUGGUGUGGUUAGUUUCAGCCCCACUUUAUGGAUGAGGCGGCCCAAAGGCAGACUGGUAGGAAGUCUUAAUCCAGGUUUUGUCUGACACCCAUGUCUCUGGGUCGAACCCUCACUCUACCGGUUAAAAUGAGCUGUUGAAAUCACUAGAAGUGAAAGCUUUCCAACAGGGCCCCCUGACCAUAAAGUCACUCCUCAGAAACUCCCAAGACGGGAGGCAAGUCCUUUGUGACUUACCUGAUAGGCUUGAUAACAGAGAGCUAAGAUGGCAAAACAGCCAGGUGGACGGAAUUGCAGCCCAUUCCACGGAGAGAGGGAACACACAGUCUGUUCCACCCUUUGAAGGAGUCGGGAGGAGUAGGUGGCUGCCGUAGAAGUAGCCGUGAAAAGAAAACAGCUAAAAUUGUAAUGAAUCCUUAAAAGCUGAACGCAGGCUGGCGUGAACAUUUCGAAUCCUCGGGAGCCUCAGACACAAGGAGAGCCCAGAAUCCUUCAGCAGCUCUUUCCCACAAGCCUCUGCUGCUUGUUUACUAGAGAGAGAGAGAGAGAGAGAGAGAGACCAAAAGGCACCACAUAUGAAGAGAGUUGACAUUAAUGAGGGUUGCACUCAGCUACUCCACCUGUGUUUCCUUUUAUUUCAAAAAGACCUUUUUUUUCAAAAUUAAUUAAUCCAUUAAAAAAUAGUUUAAACCACCACAGAACUAUAUAGGACAGGAAAUGAUAAAAAUAAUAAACAUACCCUUCCAUGUCCCCGACGCUUCUAGCUAUAAAGUAUUUCAUGGUAAUGAUGCACCAUAGUUCAAAUGUUGCUCCUGUUUAUAGAUACUUUGGUUGUUUUAAAAAACUCCUUUACAAAAAAAUGCUGCAAUAACUGUCCUUAUCCAGAUAGCCUUAUGCCCAUGAGUAUUUCUAUAACACAGAUACGUAGAUAAAAAUGAAAUUAUUCAGCCAAAGCCAUGAUAUUCAGCAAUUUUGAUUAAUGCUGCCAAUUCAACAAAGCUGUUCCUAUUUACAACCAAUUCUACUUUCUUUGGGAGCCCAGGAGCCUACGCAUUUCUUCCCACCCACCAGUCCUGGACGUGACUAAUCUAUUCAAUUUUUACAACCUGGGAGGGGGAUCUCAUUAUGCUAUUUCAAUUCCUAUUCCUUUUAUUACUAUUGAGGAUGGGCAUCUUAUGUUUUUAUUAGCCAUUUGUAUUUGAAAAUUGAGUUCUUUUUCUUAUUGCCUUACUAUAGUAGAAUCUUAAUAUGUUCUGGAUAAUAAGCUCUUGGGUGUUAUAUAUACUGCAGACUUUUCUCCUAAUCCUUUGCUUGUGUUUUAGUUUUGCUAAUGGUGCCUUUCUUUAAGAAAUACAACAAAUGUUUAGCAAUUACAUUUUUCAGUAAUUUUUUUCAUGGCAUCUGGGUUUUAUAUCCCCUUAGAUGGACCUUCUCUGCCACAAAUCAGCAAAUUACGUGUUCUAUAUUUUCAUCUAAAACUUUUAUAAUUUUGUUGGUCUGUUUAGGCUUUAAAUCCAUCUGUCAUUUUUUGGUUUUGGUUCACAAAUUACAAAUCCAAUUUUAUGUUUAUGUUUCCAACCGGAUGAUGAGUGGCACAUUAUCAUUUGUUAAAUGAUUGGUUCUUUUCCCAUCUUUCUGAAUUGACUUUUAGUGUGUAUUAAAUUACACACAAAAUGGGUCUGUUUCAGUUUUGUCUAUUUUAUUCUAUUGAUCUUUUUAUCUAUACCUAUAGAAACACCACACUGCAUUAACUGGUACUGAUUUAUAGUAUGUUUUAUUAUUUGUUUGGACAAGGGAUGCCCCCAUCAUUGAUCUUAUGUUAAUUAUGCUUGUACAUUUUCUCUUCCAGAUGAAGUUUGAAAUCACUUUGUUAACCUUCAUAAAGACUUUGUGUUUUGAUUAUGAUUGCAUCGAAUUUAUAUUUGGGAGAAGAAUGGUCAUAUUCACAAUAUUAAGUCUUCCUAUCCCAGAAUGUGUCAUAAAGUUAUAUAUAUUUCCAUUUGUUCAAGUCUCUUUUUAUGUCCCCAUUAUAUUCUAUAAUUGGUGAAUGCUGGUAUUAGGACAACAAUUUUGAAAUUCUGUAAUCCCAAGCCUGCAUUCUUAAGUGUAUUUUAUGUCAAAUAUACUUUAGCUAAAUUUGGGCUACCUAUGUGUGUGUGUGUAUGUGUAUGUGUAUAGACGUGUGUGUGUAGUUACUAGUUAAGUUAUAGUUAAGCACUUAUAUAGUUAUAAACACAUAGUUAUAUUUUUUCCAUGUAAGUCUUAUUUGUUAAUUGUUAAACUUAGUUCUUAUUUUUAUUUGCUUAUGUAUUUGUUUUACUAUUAUGAAUGAAAUUUUCCCCCAUUAUAUUUUCAAAUUGGUUAACUGGUAUAUAGAAAAUAAUUUUGGAAUUGUAUUUUCCCAAACUUCUGUCACAUAUACUGUAGCUAAAUUUACAUGUCUAAACUUAUCCUAGGUCUGUGUUAUGGUCUGAGUUGAGUCCCCCCACUUCCCCCUAAAUUUAAAUGUUGAAGUCCCUCACGGACAUAGAGAACAGACUUGUGGUUGCCAAGGGGGAGGGAGGUGGGGGAGGGAUGGAGUGAGAGUUUGGGAUUAGCAGGUGCAAACUAUUACAUAUAGGAUGGAUAAACAAUAGGUCCUACUGUAUAACACGGGGAGCUAUAUUCAAUAUCCUGGGAUAAACCAUAAUAGAAAAGAAUAUAAAAAAGGAUGUACAUAUAUAUAUAACUGAAUCACUUUGCUGUACAGCAGAAAUUAACACAACAUUGUAAAUCAAAUAUACUGCAAUAAAAAAAAUCGAAUUUGAAGUCCGAACCUCUAGUACUUUAAAAUGUGGUAAAUUAAAGAGGUAAUUAAAUAAGAGUAAUUAAAGAGGUAAUUCAAUAAAAUGAGGUCAUUAGGGAGGAUCCUAAACCAGUAUCACUGGUAUUCUUAUUUUUAAGAAGAGGAAACUUGGAUAUAGACACACACACAGAGGGAAGAUCGUGUGAAGAUUCUGGGAGAAGACAGCCAUCUACAGGCCAAGGAUCUGGGCCUCAGGAGACGCCAACCCUGCUGACAUCUUAAUCUCUGACUUCUAGCUUCCAGAACUCACACUCUUACACUGGCCUCUAGUGUUUGCAGUCCACUGACCCCCCAACCUCAUGAAGCGUGGAGUGGCUCAGCGAUGGAACAAAGCAGGGGGUCCAAGCCUCCCGUGAAUCAUCAGCAACUUCCUGAUGCUGGAAAAGAGGAGCCUGACGACACAGAACCAGCCUCUUAAAAACAGCCUUUAAGUGUUGAAUCAUUAUGUUGUGUACCUGAAACGAACAUAAUAGUA